rnacentral:rRNA from 1 species
UACGGAGGGAGCUAGCGUUGUUCGGAUAUACUGGGCGUAAAGCGCACGUAGGCGGCGCCGUAAGUCAGGGGUGAAAUCCCGGAGCUCAACUCCGGAACUGCCUUUGAAACUGCGGUGCUAGAAUCCUGGAGAGGCGAGUGGAAUUCCGAGUGUAGAGGUGAAAUUCGUAGAUAUUCGGAAGAACACCAGUGGCGAAGGCGACUCGCUGGACAGGUAUUGACGCUGAGGUGCGAAAGCGUGGGGAGCAAACAGG